rfam:Cavia porcellus supercont2_19 genomic scaffold, whole genome shotgun sequence.
GGGGAUUUAGCUCAGUGGCAUAAGCGCCUGCCUUGCAAGCAGGCAGUCCUAGGUUCAAUCCCUGGUACCA